rnacentral:lncRNA from 1 species
GCGGCACGUUGGGCAGGUGGGGGAGUUUCACUGCAAAUCCCAAGAAAUAGGGUGAUUCCUGGGAAAGCUACAGGUGUGGAGGUCAUUUCAACCAACGUUUGAGAUCUAAGGCCACAAAGUAAACCUUCUAUAGAAGGAAUGCCUUUUGGAGAUAGCACAGAGAAAGAACAGAAAGAAUCCAGCAAUUUUACAGAUCUGGGAAAACUGUGCAGCUCUUUGAGUAUGACAUCUAAUUUACAGUCUGGAUGGCAAGAGAACUUAUGGAAGUGAGAGGAGGCAAAGAUGAAUUACAUUUGUAAUAUAUGUAUUAAAUUAAUGACUGGACUUGCAGAGAACUGCACUUACAGAACGAAGCCUACAGAGAGAUGCUUAUAUCCUCAGUAUUUUACAAUAAUUUAGCAAGAUCAGAGUAGGAUAUGAUUAUGACAUUUCCGAUGUCUGACUUGGGGAAAAGGUAAGGGUGGUUCCUCCGUUUUUGCUUGUACAUUGUUAGAUUGUUAUUUAUGCUUCUAACUUUCCAUACAGCAGAAACUUAUCUGCUAGUGUUUUGAAAUAUACAUUAAAGACUUGUAAUCAAAGAAAGCUAUUAAUUAUUAACUUUUCAUCUUUCCUAGCAGAUUCUUCUUUUUCUAAGUUUGAAAUGGCUAUUCUUUCUGAUAGGACCCCUCAAAGCUCUUGUGAACUAAGGCAAUGAAACCAGUUUGUGUCUUCAGUGAAGGUGGCUUCAGUCCACUUGAAGUUAUUGUGCCUCCAUGAUAACAAGAUCUGCAGUCUGUCAUUGACUGCAGUGAAGCCAAUGCCAAAAGUUGUUCAUCUUUUUGACAGAGCUCUCAGCAAUCAAAUUCACACCUGUGCAGCACAAGCUGGGAUUGUCAGCAGCUGUCUGAAAUCUGGCAUUACUUUUUGCCCAUUGGCCAUACCUGCUAGCUUUGAUGAAGGUUUCACUGUAAAAAUUGCUUGUAGCAAAUAUUUCUUCACUUGCUUGUUUCUGUUCCAGAAAUGGAUGCUGGAUUUCCAGUGUAAGCCUAUUACAUCUUUCACCCAUACACUAUCAUCAAGAUUUAAUCCUAAAACCUUCAGAUUCCAGUCCAGAUUACUUCUAUUUUUAUUACAGGAAGAAGUCCAUUUUUGGUAUAUGUGGGCCCGCUAUUGAAAAAGAAUACAACAUGUUCAUCAUCGUUUCAUGAACACAAAAAACAUAAUCAUGGCUUUCUUUAUGUUCCUGAAGUAUAGGCACAUUGCAGUAACUGCUGGACAAAGUGCAGAAGAAGCAGCUGAGAAUGCAUGGAGAGUUAGGCUAGUGCAUCAGCCUUUCAAUCACCUUUGUUUUGUUGAGGUGUUGUGGAAGACAUGCUGAAAAAAUAUCAGGGCUGCUGUUAACUGUCUGAAUUUAAAGAAGCACCUAAAUAUGGAGAAGUUCCCAACCAGUCAGAAUCUGGUUGUGUGCUUACUGGUCCCACCUAGGACCGGUCGUGCUCUCAUUUAUCAUUUCUGGCAAAAAUCUCCUCAUUGACACCUGAGGUGCAGCACUGCUCUCCUUGCCUCUUCUGCCAUUCUGUCUUACAGCUGCCUCACUGUGGGCAGAACUGGCACUCAGACUGGGAAUUUGGGCUUGUUCCUGGUCAGCCAUCCAGCACACACAGGGAAUAAGGCUGAGGAAACAACUGAGACUUACCUGCAGGGACAGCAGUGCAUGCAAACAGCCUGUCUUCAUCACUUCUGAGCUUUGAGUAUCUGUCUUCCCUGCUUUAAUAUUAAUUCUGUUGGUAUUUCUGUGGUUGGCUGUUUUUAUUGGUGGAUUUUAAGGAGAGAAAUUGCUUUCUUUGUUCCACCCUGCCCUAGGAGAGAGCAGCCAUCAGCAACAGCACCUACACCAAGCAUGGAGCCGUGGGCAGUGCAGAGACCACGCAGCUGAUGUUUAUGGAACUGCGUGUUUUUAAAGCGCUCAGUGUUUUAGAUACUAUAUUGCACCUCAGCCCCUCUUUUACUGUCCCAGCUUCCUAUGGAGAUUUGUGUCACACUCAGCAGACAAGUUCUUUACACCCAGUUGGGAUAUUCCAUGCAAUCUGCUUCCCUUUAGAAUAUGAAAGAAGCAUGUCUGUUUAAAGGCACCCCUCACUCUAUCUGCACGCACUGAAAUUGCAGUUUAUCCUUCUGCCCUGGCUGAACCCUGAGAGAUUGCACCUGAAUGUCAAUUCCUUCUCUACCUGCUGAUUUUCAAGACAUGUCCACCUACUGCAAUGCUAAAGCUGUUAUGAAAAAAAGGAGCAGAAAAAGCUGAAAAGAACAUACACCUAUUUUAUAAAAUAAAGAACUGAAAACAACAAAAAAUAAUGUUAAAAUUUCUAAUUUGCCAACUAAAGAUGCUGAUGGUAGCUAUAGGAGACGCAGGGGGCAGCAAUAAGAAUUUUGCCUGUCACAGUGCUAACAGAAAAGGCGGUUUUACAUGACUGUAGGCUUCUGAGUUACAGCUUGAAAUCAGUGUUCAUUUGACAGUAAAAAUAAAUAAAUCAGAUGAGAAUUUAGGAAGGGUAAUCCUUUGCACAGCUCUGCCAUAUCAGCCUCUUUUAAACACAGAAACGAUGCCACGUGUGCCCCGUGAGGUGCAGGACUCCACCUCCAGCCGUGGCGGCUGAGAUGCUGCCCGGAGGGAGUCUGCAGACACUGCAGCUGUGGGCAGCAGGCUGCCCUGCAGGGGGCACAGCCAGAGGGUUCUGGAUACUGGAAAGUAUAUCUUUGGUGAUUCCUUGUACUUGCCAAGUCCCCGACACUUGUGCUCUCCUGGCUAGCCAUCUGUUCUACAUUCUGAGAUUAUGAUUAUGUGUUAUUUCACUAACUUGUAACUUUUUCUGCCUUUUCUUUGAUUUUUUUAUUAUUAUUAUUUUUUUAUUUUUUAAUGCGGCAUAUAGUCAGGUCCUUUAAGUAUUUCCAUUAAGUGACUGAGAAAUGCUCCAAUAUUACUGGAGUUCCUGGUUCUUCCUUGAACUCUCCUGUGAUGGAUCCAGGUCAUAUAGAAAGCAUAUGACAGAGCUGUAAGUAGGAGCCAAGCCUUUUAACCUCCAGUGGACACACAAGACUGUCUGUUUUCAAAGGCAAUGUGCUGCUUGCUUAGUUACGUGGUACUGGAGGAAAAUACUUUAUUGCAAGCUGUUAAAACCAGGCCAGGCACAACUGUGCUGUGGUCGUGUGUCUGCUUUCACCAUUCUCGGAUAUAAACCUAUGCUCAACUUCACAAGCUGCUAUCCUACUGGAGGUAACUAAACACUUGCUACAGGAAUUCAAUGCAAACUCUUGAUGUACCUUAUGCUGCUUUUCUGCUGCCGACAAAAUAGAGGGGAUUACCACCUGACCUGCUCUUGUUCAAGAGCAUCUGUUGACUAUGAAUCACAAAGGGUCGAACUCUUUAGGAAUCCACCUCACCUCUUGAGAGCAAGUCAUUUCAGCAUCCUUCUGCAAACAGAACUGAUUAUUUCUCAGGCGUGAAUGAAACUGUGGGAGCCCUUUGCUAGAUGGCAAGUGCUAUUUUGAACCAGUCUUUCAUGGUGUUUUGUAAUAAUAUAGCAACCUGAUUCUCUGCAUUUAUUUAUGAAAGUAAAUGGAGGCUAGGAAUCAACUUUGGAAAGCUUUUGGUGCUAAUGCAGCAUUGCUUCUAGAAUGGUUACUUGUGUGAUACUUCUAACAAGAUGAAUCAGCAGAAGCACAAAAGGCAGCAUGCCAAAAUGUUUCCUGUCUUGUUCUGUUGGCUCUUAUGUGCAAAUUUCAUAAUAGCAGUAGAGAAGGCUGAUAUGACAACAGCUUUCAAAUAUGAAGAAGCUGCUGCCAAGGGGAAGGGAAUAAUCUCUUUUCUCUGUUUAAGAAGUAAUGGUUUAAAUAGCAGCUAGGUUAGAUCAGUUGCCCUGAACCUGGAGUUUGUAAACCCCUGGGGAUCUUUCGAAGGCUCUCUGGUCCAUCUGGCUCUAAGUGUUAGCAGACAGGGGCUUUUAACCAGUCCAGAGUAAUCAUUCAUUUUGUGAUAUUUUUAUAUGUAGAUUUUUGUUGUUAUCUCUAUGGACAAAGCUGAAUGUAUGGAGACAAGUUCCCAAGCAACCUAAUCCGAGUAGACUGGCUUUGAGGAGAAGGCUGAACUUGAUGACCUUUGGAGGUCCCUUCCACCCUAAAUUAUCAGUGAUUUUGUAUAACGUGUUUUCUGAGAGCUCAGAGAUGUCAUUUGGUUAUAGGGGAGAGGCCAAUUUUAGGCCUUCUUUGUGCGGUUUCCCCAGCAGUGCUGAGGUUGUGUGGCUCCUGGUGUGAGUCUGUGCAGUCCUACACAAGUUGCACUGACUUCUAAUGACUAUUUAGAUCCCCAUAAGCUGAGACUUAUAGAAUAUUAACUGGGCUAACCUCUUCCUCUGUUCUGUGACAGGGGCACAGUACCACAAGCGUAGCUUGACCUUGUACCUAGGAGUGCAUGUAAAAGAAAUGAAGACUCAAGACAAACAACAAAGACUAGGUGUCUUUAAGUUGAAAGAAUUAUCUGAGCCAAGAAAGGGCAUUUGAGGAGCUGGAAUACUUUCAUACCAGGCACAGAUAUAAUUCCAGCUCCAAAGAAAAGGUUUGAAUGUGAGUGUUGCAGGAAGAUAUUUGCACUGUUUCUAGGAAUUUAUUCUCUGGCAGCUAGGUGAGGAAGAAGAGGAAGUGUUAUUUAUUACAUAGCCAUCUGUAGUCCUUGACUGGAAUUCCACAUCUCCUAUUGCAUCACCAUUCUCUGUACCCACAAGGAAGAGGAAGCUACUGUCAGAACUUGGAGCAGCUGAAGUGUUAAGCAUUUCCUCCCACCUUACUUUGGUUUAUCCUUGAUGUUCCUUUGCUUGGUAUUUCGUGAUCCUGGUAUAGCCCUGGACAUAGAGACCUCUAGGACUUCAGUGGCAAGGUGAAACAAUAGCAUACCAAACUAUGGCAUAAGUUUGAGAAGAUUUUUUCAGGGACUGAAGCCACUGAUUAACUGAGCUGCUUUUUUUCUGCUGUCUGUCCUUUAUGUGCUUCUCUUUGGUUUAAAAGGGAGGAGGGGACAGUGGGCUUUAACAGCAGCUUCUGAAAUUGGCUUUCUUCUUUCUAGCAAGUACAGGUGAUACGUCUCCAAUAUCUCCUAAGAGCACAUUGAUCGUUUUCUAUUUGGAAGCUUUUAUAUAAUAACACUCUGUUACUGAAGACAAGCUCAGAUUUGUUUAUUGAGUCACCAUCUGCCAGAAGAGGGUCUCAGAUGUUCUCCAUGAUGACAAGAGUACAGAGCCAGUCCCACUGCACAUGGACCCCCCUGCUACCCAGAACCAGCUGGGGUUCUCUUUCCAAGCAUGACAUCUGAAGCACUGCUCAGUUUCUCAAGGACCCCAGCAAGGCAAAAAUGUCUCACACAAUAGGAAUGCAGAGAAAUGAUGGGUUGGAAUAAAUCAGGAAUUGACUUAGUUGUUCUCGUUUCAACCAGAUACAGAAAAGUUCCUCCAUGGGCAGUUAUUAGCAGCCUAUACACUAACAAAUGUUCUUCCUAGUGUUCUUGUUAAAAUUAAAAUAAAUAAAUAAUUGUUGUUUUAAAAUAGAUAACCUCCCAUGUUUAAAGCAAAAGUUCCAACCUUGUAAUCUUCCCUUCCUAGCUUUUAACUUGUGAUCUUUCACCUCCUUUAUACUGGUACCACUACUGCUCACCAGCUACAUCAGUGAGUUAUCUGGGUAAGAACUGGCAUGGGGUAACGUCAUGUGGGAGAUGGCAGGAAUGCCAAUGCUGGAGGAAGGCGGGAUGUCCCUCUUCCAUUCCUUGGUCAUUAUCCAGACAUAUUGGAUUAAAUCCAUGGUAAAACCUCAGCCUGGCAUUUGAUGAAGGGUGCAGGAUGUUCAGGAUCCACUGCUUUGGGAUGCAGGGACUGCAGGGUGGACUCAAACGGUUCUCAGUGAUCAAAGAUUGCAGUGUUAAAACCAACAGGCGACAUGACAGCCAUACAUCAUAUUAGCAAAAGAGCACUUCCAUGUGCUCUGCUGGGAGGCAAUGGUUCUGUGGGACACAUGCCAGGUGCUUCAAGAGCAUCCUGUAGCCAUAUAUCUGGCAGGGCAGGCAGAAGGAACGUGCUAAGCAGUAGCCUCACUCGCAGACUUCUGAAAUGACAAAUAUUCCUUAAAGGAGUCCAUUAAAAUAAAAUAAUGCCCUUUCAAUGUACAUAGGGAACAUAUAUAACAAAAUAUAUGAAGUACCUGUGUAUUUUCUCUAUUUGAUACCUGAAUCCAUGAGAAUAGGGGAUAAGGUACUUUCAGAACUGUAGAAUGGUAGAUAGUAGACAACAAAUUGUCUCAAAACACACUGAGAUAUGUUUGUAUUCCAAGUGAUGUGUGCCAGAUAUUGGGCAACAAAGUACGUGUUUUUGUGGAGAUGUGACCCAGCUGGUCUGUUGAGCCUUUGGUAAUGCACUUCAUGCUACUUGAGACUAUAUAGUGCUUCUAACCAUCCUCCCAGGGCAGUUUUCUCCUGCGACUCCACAGCCUUUGGGAGUUGCAUGGCCACAGCAAACAAGUGGAAGUAAGGAGCUUUCAUCCAACAGUGCCUGUUUUUCAAUCAACUCAAAAUCCACCAAAGUGCUUGAGUGGAAGGAGGACAGUCAGGAAAGCAAAAGAGUAUCUGGAGUUGUGAGUGCUGAAGUGUGCCUGGAGGCAGGGGUUAAAGGCAGCUGGAGGAGCAAAGAAACGCAGAGGGAAUAUGGAAUAGAAAAGUGCAUCAAAGCCUGGGUGAGUGAGUUAUGUCCUGAAGUGGUGUGUUUUGAUGGCCCGGUGUUGUUGAGCUAGUUGGAGAUGAGCACAGCACUGUACUCUUCAACAAAAGAGAUGAGAGUGGAUCAGGAGCAGACCUCUGUAUCCUGCUAACAGACUGGUCUAUGGAAGGGAGGCAAGCUCCUUGAUACAUGUAACCCUAAGCCAAGUGUGUUCCAUGGUUUUAGAAUUGUGGGUUAGGAGAACGAUAGAGUAACAGUAGCUAAAAUCACCCAGGUAAAGACAACUCUUCAGGGGUAAAUGAUGGCUGGUAUGGAGAGAUAAAAGAGCUGGACUGCAAGGAGAGAGGAGAACGGAGAACAGAGUUUUCAUUUCCAGCUCAGCUGGUCUUGUUGUAGUUUGAGCGCACGCUUAGGGUUUCUUGCUGUGCUCCAUAACUGGUGAAGCUGGGGGAGAUAGGAAGGGUCCCACCAGCACAGGAUGGUGCUGGAACAGAUGGAGCAGUCUGAUUCUUCCAUCAGGCUGGUGACAGUGCUCUCUGGAAGGUACCGUGCUCGCCUGUCGGGAUCCCUGAAGAUAAUAGGCUCUGUGCUCUCCAGAGAUGGACCGCUGCAAACGAGUCAUCUGGAACUAAUGGGUUUUGUGCCUUUGAUUGGACUGUGCUUUUCUGUAUACCUCCUUUGUCAGCCUAAAGGUCUGCUGAGAUCCAAACCAUGCUGUAAUUAUUUCCACACACAACAGCAAAGGUUGCUCUUUAAGCCGAAAUUUUGUCUGAUGUAUCUUCCCAGGAAAAUAAGCUUGAAUAAUUACUGGUUUUUAACAGUAAAAAGAUGUAACUUGUGUUUCGGAGGAUUAAAAUCUACAACCUUAUCUAAAUACAGAAAGAACAGCUGGCAAAAUGGAGUUUCUUUCUACAACUUAAACAGAAUCUGUCCUCCCCAAGCCUGGUUGGUUCUCAGCCUGCGUACACCUGUGUUAAUUUAAUAUGGUUCUUCAGUGGACGACGUUUGAGAGCAAGAAGGCACCAGUUCUGUCUCCUCUCUCUGUAUGGAUUCUCCCCUCGUUGUCUCAGCAGACAACACUUUGGCUUGCAGCCUUGGAGGAUGAUAUUUAGUACAGUGACUGUCGGAGGAGUGGGAUUUGUGGUGACUGGGAUUUUUGAAGCAGGUCUAAAUCCUGCUGGCUUGCAAAGAGAGUAAAUUCUAAAGGGUCACAAAUGCUGAUACCACUUGGGAGCUUCCGCCAUCUUACCAGACUUGAAACUGUGAGAACAGUUAUAGGAAUCAGCUUUGAAAUGACCAAAGGUAUCAGCUUGUCCUCCAUUAGAAAUAAUUUCUAGGCCUUGGGCUGCACCCAGAAAAAUAAAAAUAAUCUGAAGAGAUUUUAAUUAUAUCUCCACUAGUAAUAAAGCAGCUUUUUCCUCCAAAUUAAUAUGAUCGAUGUCUGUAUGCUAUUGAGAAAUGAGGGAUGUCCUUCUCAAAUAGUAUAAAGUGCACACUUUUGUCAGUUUCUUCUAAAAAUAAUAAUAAUAAUAAGAAGAAAGGGAUUGCUGUCUUUCUGGGCUAGAAACUAUUUGUUCCUCUUAAAAAGCCUUUAUAAGUGUGAGCUGUCUGCCGUCACUCAGAACAGGGAAGCUGGUGCCUGGAGUAUCUGCACCUUUCAUGUCUGUGAGGGAACGAAAGAGCUUUGUGCAGAGAGGAAUUUCAGUCUGAAUCACAGACUGUAGUUUUGUUGGAAAUGGAAGAGUAGAUGCAGUGAAAAACUGAAGAGGGAAGUGUCUCGAACUCCAAAAUUCCUGCACUUCCUAUUAAUAGAUCUGUGUUUAAAAUAAUGUGAAAAAGUAAAUCUCUCUAAGGCAUUGAAUCAUGUGCAUUCCCACGAGUGCUCAGCAUGUGUCUGUGCUCCACAUCUCUCAUCAGACACUGUCCCUCCCAUGUUGGCUCCAGGCUUGCACUGCAGCAGGAACCUCAGUGGCUUUGGGGAUUGAUAGCUGACCUGGUGGUUCAUGAAACAUUUGUGUUCUCCAUACUUUAUUAGUCACUGACAGACUCAUUGUUUAUAACAUACUUCUCAGCAAGCUGUUUGCGACUCAUCGCCCUGCUUGCUUUAUAGUCUAUAAAUAUUUAAUUCUUUAAUAAACAGCUUAUAUGUAAUAUCAAAUGACUGAUGCACUUCUUUCCACUCUUCAGCAGUGCUACUAUUUGCAAAACAAUCUAUUUUUUUUCUUUCUUUUUGAAUAUCAAUAUGUUUCAUAAAUUCUUGAAUUUCCUUUUCUAAACAGCCAUUUCUUCAGGGUGCUUGGUACAAUGACAAGCAGAGCAAUGGUUCCUGUGGCAUUAUAAUAGCUGCCCCUUUCUAAAGUCUCCAUGGGGAGAUUCACUUCACAGUGGUCACAGAUUUGCAAUCAGGAGUAGUUUGAAACAGCAGCAGUCAUAUUUCACAGCUGUGCAUGUUAAAGAGCAGCAGCAGCCUGCACGGCCAGAACAGCCCUGCAGAAGCUGUGUGAGAGCAUCCCUGGUAGUAUGCAGAGCAGUGUGGGCAUCUCAGAGUAUCACUGCCUCUUGCUGCGAGCUGCAUCACCACUCCUCUGCUUCACACACAUUGCUUAUAUGGUACAACCUGUGCUUCUUUUCCCAUCUGUAAUCUUCUUCCUGCUACCUAUAGAAAGAGUCGCUGAUGGGAUCCACUGCGCUGGGGUCAGAAAGCCAUUGGUAUGGGUGGGUGAGGCGGAGGUGAUCUGCUUGGGUCACUGCGGCUCAUGGCAGCAGCUCAGUGCCUUGCAGCAGACAGGCUCUAGGGUACUCUCUGAGGUCUGGCUGGCUGCCAUACCAGUUGCAUUUUGUCUGGAUGGUAACGUGUCUCAGUAGGGCCUUCAAGAGUGUUGUGUGGUCAUGGACGGGAUAUUCAUAUCUAACCCUAAGUCAGGCUGAUGGUCAGACUUCCCUUGUGCCUUGAAUUUUUGCACUUUUUCAACUUUGAGCAGAGAGAGGCUGGAUUUAGGAUUCCUGCCUAGAGGUGGUAUUGGUGUCCUGUUUUUGUUCGGAGCUGGCAGACUUGCCUUGUGCUCAGAUUCCCAGGUGGCUUUACAGAAGGGUGUGUGCGUGUGCAUUACAAAUGCAUCUGUGGAGAUGCAGGAAGGAACUUGAUUCGGAGAACUAAUAGAUGAGAUCAUAGUUAUGAAUCUUCAGGCAUUGGGCAGCAGUCCCUCUUUGCUAUGGGCCACUGCAUCCUCUGCCCAUUAGUCCUUAGAUGAGAGCCUUAUCCUUCUGUUCAAGGUUCUUGGUGCUCUUUUAGUGAUAGAGCCUGCUUGAAGACCUGGUAGCUGUUUGCUCAGGACUCCACAGCCUGCUUUGAACAGAUGCUCAUACCAUAUCCUUGUCAGACACUAUUAAAAGGCAGAGAAACAACCCCGGUCUGGCAGCUGGGGAUCUGCUCAGUAGUGUUUCUAGUUAUUGGCAGCAUCUGCAUGUGCCCACAGGAUGGAAGGAGAGGACAGCUCCUCUGAGAACAGGUCCCACCUGCAAGUCUUUAUUUUCCAUCCUGCCUGUUCUCUUCUUGUGUUUAAAGCCAUGGUCCUUCUCUGGAGAUAAGGCUGGCAGCAGUAUGAGCCUUUCUUACACCAUGGGCGUUGUAGAGGCUGAUUCAGGAUCUGUGCACAGCGGGCACACAAGCAGGUUUUUCUAAUGUCCUUCGCUAAUGUCACUACGCUGCAAUGAGGGCGUUGCUGUUCUGUGAUGGCCCAUUAAAUCUUUGUUAACCCUAAGUACAUACAAGACCCUGAUCCAAAAAAGCAUUCCUAGCAGAGCACAGAGCAGCCAAGAGGUUCUUCUCCAUACACACACAUUUGUGUGUUAAAAAUAUCAAGUGAUAACAAUUCCCGUUCUGAGGAAGAAGCAGGUGAGAGAGGAUCACAGAAUCACAGAAUGGCUUAGACUGGAAGGGACCUUAAAGAUCACGUAGUCCCAAUGCACCUGCUGUGGGCAGAUCAGGGCUUCACCACCUCUGGGUAGAAAUUUUUUUCCCAACAGCUGAUCUAACUCUCCACUCUUUUAGUUUAAAGCCAUUCACCAUUGUCCUACCACUCUCCUGUUGAUAAGCUCCCCUCAAGUACUAGGAGGUUGCAAUGAGGUCUCCCCAGUCUUCUUUUCUCCAGCCUGAAGAAGCAUUGUUCCCACAGCCUAUCUUCAUAGGAGACAUUCUCCAUCCUCUGAUAAUCUUUGUGGCCCUCCUCUGAAGCUGCUCCAACAGUUCCACAUCCUUCUUGUGCUGGGAGCCCCAGGCCUGUAUACAGUGCUCCAGAUGGGGUCCCACAAGAGCAGAGCGGAGGGGACAAUCCCCUCCCUGCCCCACUGCCAUUCCUCUGCUGAUACAGCCCAGGAACCAGGAAUCACUAUCUGCCAGGUCUGUCCCACCUUCAGUAUCCUGGUGGCACAUGUGGCUGGGAGCAGCCCACUCCCAGACUGUCAUCCCUGUGCUGGAGGCACAGAGCAGUGGGCAGGGCAUGGGCACUGCAUCACUUGUACUGUCCCUGAAGCAAUGCACAGAAGCCUGCCUUGAGCCAGCAACAGCAUCUAAACACUAACACGCACUGCCGUGUUGUCACUUUACCCACAAGGCUGUCAUUGAGCUCCUCCUUUGUUACUGAAGCAUGGCACUUAACACAUUCUCCCUCCAGUUCCUCUUCCUGUCCCCCUCCCACCGUGUAUAUCACUGAAAUUUCUGAAUGGAAGCAGGGAAUGGUGUAGGCACUGAGCUCCUGGUCCUCAAAGAGUCUCCAGGCAGUGAGCAUGACUGGUGCCCCAGCUUAAGUAUGAGUAAUGAUAAAUAAGUAAAUCACGCAGUGGGCUGUGCUAUUCCCUAAUGAGCCUGUUUGUCCCAAGCGCUGUGCAGAAAACACUCUUCUCCUUGGCAAUAACCUUUCUGCAUAUUAACAUUAUGCAUGUAUUCAUGUGACUUCCUCUGCUUCACCACCACCUCCUUCAACUGAUUUAAAUAAAAAUAAUUUAUGUGGACAUUCCUUCAGUCAGGAUUCCCC